GAACAAGCGCAGACCUUACCACUUUGACAUGUCCGGUAUGGUUCACAGAGAUGUCUUCCUUCCCGCAAGGGGCCGGAACACAGGUGCUGCUUGGCUGUCGUCAGCCUCGUGUCGUGAGAUGUUGGGUUAAGUCCCGCAACGAGCGCAACCCUCGCCCUUAGUUGCCAUCAUUCAGUUGGGCACUCUAGGGGGACUGCCGGUGAUAAGCCGCGAGGAAGGUGGGGAUGACGUCAAGUCCUCAUGGCCCUUACAGGCUGGGCUACACACGUGCUACAAUGGCGGUGACAAUGGGAAGCGAAAGGGUGACCUGGAGCAAAUCUCAAAACGCCGUCUCAGUUCGGAUUGCACUCUGCAACUCGAGUGCAUGAAGUUGGAAUCGCUAGUAAUCGCGGAUCAGCACGCCGCGGUGAAUACGUUCCCGGGCCUUGUACACACCGCCCGUCACACCAUGGGAGUUGGUUUUACCCGAAGGCGUUCCGCCAACCGCAAGGAGGCAGGCGACCACGGUAGGGUCAGCGACUGGGGUGGAGUCGUAACAAGGUAACC
rnacentral:rRNA from 1 species